GAUGAACGCUAGCGGGAGGCCUAACACAUGCAAGCCGAGCGGUAGUGAUUCUUCGGAAUCUUGAGAGCGGCGUACGGGUGCGGAACACGUGUGCAACCUGCCUUUAUCAAGGGGAUAGCCUUUCGAAAGGAAGAUUAAUACCCUAUAAUAUAUGAUUCGGCAUCGGAUUAUAUUGAAAACUACGGUGGAUAAAGAUGGGCACGCGCAAGAUUAGCUAGUUGGUGAGGUAACGGCUCACCAAGGCGACGAUCUUUAGGGGGCCUGAGAGGGUGAUCCCCCACACUGGUACUGAGACACGGACCAGACUCCUACGGGAGGCAGCAGUGAGGAAUAUUGGACAAUGGGUGCAAGCCUGAUCCAGCCAUCCCGCGUGUAGGAAGACGGCCCUAUGGGUUGUAAACUACUUUUAUCUGGGGAUAAACCUACUUACGUGUAAGUAGCUGAAGGUACCAGAUGAAUAAGCACCGGCUAACUCCGUG
rnacentral:rRNA from 1 species